rnacentral:rRNA from 1 species
CCUACGGGGAGCAGCAGUGAGGAAUAUUGGUCAAUGGACGAGAGUCUGAACCAGCCAAGUAGCGUGAAGGAUGACUGCCCUAUGGGUUGUAAACUUCUUUUAUAUGGGAAUAAAAUGUUCCACGUGUGGGAUUUUGUAUGUACCAUAUGAAUAAGGAUCGGCUAACUCCGUGCCAGCAGCCGCGGUAAUACGGAGGAUCCGAGCGUUAUCCGGAUUUAUUGGGUUUAAAGGGAGCGUAGGUGGAUUGUUAAGUCAGUUGUGAAAGUUUGCGGCUCAACCGUAAGAUUGCAGUUGAAACUGGCAGUCUUGAGUACAGUAGAGGUGGGCGGAAUUCGUGGUGUAGCGGUGAAAUGCUUAGAUAUCACGAAGAACUCCGAUUGCGAAGGCAGUUCACUGGACUGCAACUGACACUGAGGCUCGAAAGUGUGGGUAUCAAACAGGAUUAGAUACCCUAGUAGUC